rnacentral:rRNA from 1 species
AUUGAACGCUGGCGGCAGGCCUAACACAUGCAAGUCGAGCGGAUGAAGGGAGCUUGCUCCUGGAUUCAGCGGCGGACGGGUGAGUAAUGCCUAGGAAUCUGCCUGGUAGUGGGAGAUAACGUCCGGAAACGGGCGCUAAUACCGCAUACGUCCUGAGGGAGAAAGUGGGGGAUCUUCGGACCUCACGCUAUCAGAUGAGCCUAGGUCGGAUUAGCUAGUUGGUGGGGUAAAGGCCUACCAAGGCGACGAUCCGUAACUGGUCUGAGAGGAUGAUCAGUCACACUGGAACUGAGACACGGUCCAGACUCCUACGGGAGGCGGCAGUGGGGAAUAUUGGACAAUGGGCGAAAGCCUGAUCCAGCCAUGCCGCGUGUGUGAAGAAGGUCUUCGGAUUGUAAAGCACUUUAAGUUGGGAGGAAGGGCAGUAAGUUAAUACCUUGCUGUUUUGACGUUACCAACAGAAUAAGCACCGGCUAACUUCGUG